AAUCAACGCUGGCGGCGUGCCUCAGACAUGCAAGUCGAACGCGAAAUUUCCCUUCGGGGAGAAAGUAGAGUGGCGCACGGGUGAGUAACACGUAGGUAAUUUGCCUUUGGGUGGGGAAUAAUUCAGGGAAACUUGAGCUAAUACCGCAUAAUGCAGCGGCUCGACAUCGAGACAGUUGUUAAAGCGGGGGAUCGCAAGACCUCGCGCCUAAAGAGAAGCCUGCGGCAGAUUAGCUAGUUGGUAGGGUAAUGGCCUACCAAGGCAACGAUCUGUAACCGGCCUGAGAGGGCGGUCGGUCACACUGACACUGACAUACGGGUCAGACUCCUACGGGAGGCAGCAGUCGGGAAUUUUGGGCAAUGGGCGAAAGCCUGACCCAGCAACGCCGCGUGAAGGAUGAAGUAUUUCGGUAUGUAAACUUCGAAAGAAUGGGAAGAAUCAAUGACGGUACCAUUUAUAAGGUCCGGCUAACUACGUGCCAGCCGCCGCGGUAAG
rnacentral:rRNA from 1 species